UGGGGAAUAUUGCACAAUGGGCGCAAGCCUGAUGCAGCCAUGCCGCGUGUAUGAAGAAGGCCUUCGGGUUGUAAAGUACUUUCAGCGAGGAGGAAGGCGUUGUGGUUAAUAACCGCAGCGAUUGACGUUACUCGCAGAAGAAGCACCGGCUAACUCCGUGCCAGCAGCCGCGGGAAUACGGAGGGUGCAAGCGUUAAUCGGAAUUACUGGGCGUAAAGCGCACGCAGGCGGUCUGUCAAGUCGGAUGUGAAAUCCCCGGGCUCAACCUGGGAACUGCAUCCGAAACUGGCAGGCUAGAGUCUUGUAGAGGGGGGUAGAAUUCCGGGUGUAGCGGUGAAAUGCGUAGAGAUCUGGAGGAAUACCGGUGGCGAAGGCGGCCCCCUGGACAAAGACUGACGCUCAGGUGCGAAAGCGUGGGGAGCAAACA
rnacentral:rRNA from 1 species